rnacentral:lncRNA from 1 species
UAAGCCUAAUAUACGAUAAAUAGACAGAGGCAUCAGAUUAGUGCUAGAUCUUAAGUCACAAAGGGCUUUCCUAAAAUUUACUCCCCUUAUUUCUAUAGGUAUUAUAAAGCUUCUAGGAUCCUUAAGCUUAGGUGGAAUCUUUCUAGCAAUAAUUGCACUACAAUCGACAUUAACAAAUAUUUUCUCACCUUUAAUUAUCCUACUGUGCCUGGACAUAAUUUCUUUAAGAAAUUAGCAUACUUUGGUAUUUUUUCAAUUAAUUCAAGUAAAGGUAAUUU